AUUGAACGCUGGCGGCAGGCCUUACACAUGCAAGUCGAGCGAGCGGCGGACGGGUGAGUAAUGUAUGGGGACUGCCCGAUAGAGGGGGAUAACUACUGGAAACGGUGGCUAAUACCGCAUACUAUCGGAUAACCCAUAUGGGAUUAGCUAGUAGGUGGGGUAAAGGCUCACCUAGGCGACGAUCUCUAGCUGGUUUGAGAGGAUGACCAGCCACACUGGGACUGAGACACGGCCCAGACUCCUACGGAGGCAGCAGUGGGGAAUAUUGGACAAGGGGCGAAACCCUGAUGAAGCCAUGCCGCGUGUAUGAUGAAGGCCUUAGGGUUGUAAAGUACUUUCGGCAGAGAAGCGUUACCUGCAGAAUAAGCACCGGCUAACUCCGUGCCAGCAGCCGCGGUAAUAC
rnacentral:rRNA from 1 species